AUUGAACGCUGGCGGCAGGCCUAACACAUGCAAGUCGAACGGUAACAGGAAGAAGCUUGCUUCUUUGCUGACGAGUGGCGGACGGGUGAGUAAUGUCUGGGAAACUGCCUGAUGGAGGGGGAUAACUACUGGAAACGGUAGCUAAUACCGCAUAACGUCGCAAGACCAAAAAGGGGGACCUUCGGGCCUCUUGCCAUCGGAUGUGCCCAGAUGGGAUUAGCUAGUAGGUGGGGUAACGGCUCACCUAGGCGACGAUCCCUAGCUGGUCUGAGAGGAUGACUAGCCACACUGGAACUGAGACACGGUCCAGACUCCUACGGGAGGCAGCAGUGGGGAAUAUUGCACAAUGGGCGCAAGCCUGAUGCAGCCAUGCCGCGUGUAUGAAGAAGGCCUUCGGGUUGUAAAGUACUUUCAGCGGGGAGGAAGGGAGUAAAGUUAAUACCUUUGCUCAUUGACGUUACCCGCAGAAGAAGCACCGGCUAACUCCGU
rnacentral:rRNA from 1 species